AGGAUGAACGCUGGCGGUCUGCUUAACACAUGCAAGUCGAACGGAGUAGCAAUACUUAGUGGCGGACGGGUGAGUAACGCGUGAGAAUCUACCUUCAGGACGGAGACAACAGUUGGAAACGACUGCUAACCCCCGAUGUACCGAAAGGGCAAAUAUUUAUAGCCUGAAGAAGAGCUCGCGUCCGAUUAGCUAGUUGGAGAGGUAAAAGCUCACCAAGGCGACGAUCGGUAGCUGGUCUGAGAGGACGAUCAGCCACACUGGGACUGAGACACGGCCCAGACUCCUACGGGAGGCAGCAGUGGGGAAUUUCCGCAAUGGGCGAAAGCCUGACGGAGCAAGACCGCGUGGGGAAGAAGGCUCUUGGGUUGUAAACCCCUUUUCUCUGGGAAGAACGCAAUGACGGUACCAGAGGAAUCAGCAUCGGCUAACUCCGUGCCAGCAGCCGC
rnacentral:rRNA from 1 species